ACCAGCGCCUCUUUCAGCGUCUCUCUCCCUCUCCGCUGCUCCUCUCCCCUCCCUCUCCCUCUCCCCUCUGUCUCCGAUGUUUCUCUCCCCUCCCCUCUUUCACCGCCACUCCACUAGCCACGAAACAGCUCUCCUCCGCUACUCCUCCUCGCGUUCGUGGGCAAGCGGAGCACCGAUUCACCUCUUUGUUGGUCAUCGUCGCCUGAGAUCCAUCAUCCACAGAAACUCGAUCGGCAGCUCCUCCCUCACACAUUGCAGAGACAUAACACAACACUGUAAUGCUCAUCAAUGCUGACCCAAGUUUUCGACACUGCCAGUUCAUUCUAACCUAGUCAAAAACAAUGGAAGAUGUGACUGAUACUGAUGCUUCCUUUUCCUACAUUCAGAAUUUGGGUUUUUUUAUUGCAAGGUUUUGCCCAUCCCAUGCUUAUCUCUCAGGAUGUUUCAGAGGCAAAUAAAUUUGUAAAGGAGACAAACAAUUUGAAACCUAUAGGUACCAGCAUGUAUGUGCUUUUUCUGCUGUAUGAUUUAUGAUUUUUUCACUUUUUGUGAGUUAUAACUGCAUUGCAUAAUUUUAUCUGAUGUAUAGCUUAAACACAUUAUUCAUGUCAUAGUCAUAUCAAUCUGGUAUGCAUUUGGAUCAUGCCAUUGGUAUCAAAGACCAAUAUGAAUAGUUAUGUUAUAGUCUUGUAUGGUUACAUUGCUCCUCUGAAGUUGUAAGGUUAAAUUUGUGUGAUGUGCCCAUACACCACAUUUGCUUACUGAAUCAUUAAUCAUAUAUGCAUUUGUGUUUGCGUGAGUGCAUAUUAAGCUUUUAUGAUGUGCCUAUGUAUAUAAUACUCUGUAAAUGUUCUCUUGACUUGAAAGUGGAUAAUCACGUGAGUACUUUUUCUAUUUCAGCAACAUUUUUAUUAGACAUCUGUUGGAGAAGUGUCCAAAGAGUGUCGGUGUCCGACAUGGACACGACACGGAUACAUCACCUUCUUAGAAGUGUCCGUACUUCUUAGCUAAAUAGUCAUACUUGUAUCUUGAAACAUCAUCAAGAUACCACCAAUUGAAUAAAUUGGAACUUCAAAAUGGUACACUAUUUUCAACAUCUAAGAGAGAUGUUAAUAUCAAUGAGAUAUAUUUUUUUGGGCUAAUAUUUCACGUUUUAGUUAUGUGCCAGCAUGAAUUUGCGAUUCCUCUGGUUCUGUUUUUGUUAUCUUUUCUCCUUUUUCCUUGCUUUGUUUAUAGUUCAAGCUCAUAAUCCUAGAGCGAACUUGGAUAGUUAUAAGUGAUGGACUUGAAGAAUUGAGUUCGAUAAAUUAUGAUGCGGUCUAUAUAGAACCUGGGUUGCUAACCACUUUAGGACAGAAUUUGAGACAUUUGAGGAAGUUGGACUUGUCUUAUAAUGAAAACUUAGUCAAUAAGGAGCUCACAUCAGUUGAGGGGCUGUAAAGGAUUGACAAACGUAGCCAUAGUUUUGAUGUUCAAAAGCUAUAAGCAUUUGGAGAUUGUCCAUAUAAUGCAUUGCUGUGGAAUUAACACUGAGGCUGUUGAGUUAUGUCUUCUGAAUUGUCGACAAUUGAGGCAGGUACAGGUUGAGGAAAGCAAGCUUUCGGAUGCUCCCAUUACUCUUUCAUGGGUAAAUUGUAAAUGUUUCUAAUUUAUGUGUGAGAUAGAAUGAGCACUUUCAUCUGCUCCGUCAAGAAAAAUGGUUGUACCAAUGUUUGAUUCUCCAAUAAUGUACACACAACAUCAUUUAAAUAAAAAAACAUUUCCUUAUUUGCUAUGAUUUAUAAAGCA